GACGUAGGGCGCGAGCGUUGUCCGGAUUUAUUGGGCGUAAAGAGCUCGUAGGCGGCUUGUCGCGUCGACUGUGAAAACCCGUGGCUCAACCAUGUGGUCUGCAGUCGAUACGGGCAGGCUAGAAUUCGGUAGGGGAGACUGGAAUUCCGGGUGUAGCGGUGGAAUGCGUAGAGAUCCGGAAGAACACCGGUGGCGAAGGCGGUUAGCUGGGCAGUUGCUGACACUGAGGCGCGACAGCGUGGGGAGCAAACAGG
rnacentral:rRNA from 1 species